UACGAAGGGGGCUAGCGUUGCUCGGAAUCACUGGGCGUAAAGGGUGCGUAGGCGGGUCUUUAAGUCAGGGGUGAAAUCCUGGAGCUCAACUCCAGAACUGCCUUUGAUACUGAGGAUCUUGAGUUCGGGAGAGGUGAGUGGAACUGCGAGUGUAGAGGUGAAAUUCGUAGAUAUUCGGAAGAACACCAGUGGCGAAGGCGACUCACUGGCCCGAUACUGACGCUGAGGCGCGAAAGCGUGGGGAGCAAACAGG
rnacentral:rRNA from 1 species